UAAUAAGUGUUUUAUGGCACUUUUUAAAUCCAUAUCCACCUUGUGUGCAAUGUCAGUCGAUCUUCUUCAUGGAGAUCGACCAAACAUCAACCUUUAUUUUUAACUCUUUGUCUGAAAAAUAUUAUGAGUAAACAAUUCAAAAUA
rnacentral:misc_RNA from 1 species